rnacentral:lncRNA from 1 species
AAUUUACGUUUCGCAAUUACCGGAGAUUUUUCUCUUCUACCGAAUUUUCGCAUUUAUUUCCGCCGAAUUUUCCGGCGAAGCCUUGCCGUCUUUUGGCGGACAUCGGAGGAUUUUGAUCUUCAUUUGUUACUUCAAUUGUCGAUCGCUUACGCUUUUCUAUUUUUAGCGGUUUUUUUAAUUGAACCACCGAUCUGAUGAAGGCAUUAAUUACCUUCCAUUGAUGAAGAAUCAACAAUGGAAAAUUUUAAAAAUUUUAAAAAUUUGAGAUCUUCGUUGUAUGUAGCCUGAAAUUUCAUUGAAAAUUGAAUUUGAAUAAAAUUGAGUGUUUGAUCUAUGUGAUGAGUUAAUCUAAUCGAUCACAUCAUAAACAGUAUUAAUGGAUAAGAGAUUUGUCAUUUGGCUUCUGAAAUUUGUGUAAAGUCUUUAUAUUUGUUUGUGUUAGGUCAGUGUCAUCAUUAUGGUGACAUUAUAAUGAUGCUUUCAUUAAUGAAGAUGGUUGAUUUUUUUUUUUUGUAAAUUGUGAAUAGGUUGAAGAAGAAGAUAAAGGAUCGAUACAUGGCUGAUUGAUAAGAGUUCUCUCCGGAGGUUCGGAGUUUUCUUUAGGAAGGAAACAGAAAAAAAGAUGGCAGUCUCUU